ensembl:snRNA U6 U6 spliceosomal RNA
GUGCAUGCUUCGGUGGCUCAUAUACUAGAGUUGGAACAAUACAGAGAAGACUGGCAUGGCCCCUGCACAAGGAUGACAUGCAAAUUUGUGAAGCGUCCCAUUAAAAA